UCGCUGUGAUGACUUCUUAGGACACCUUUGGAUAAACCAUGAAAACAAACCACUGAAAUACUGAGCGAC